rnacentral:lncRNA from 1 species
AUGUCUUCAUUAGUAUAUAAUAGUCCCCUUAUCUGUGGUUUUCUUUCUGUGGUUUCAGUUCUCCACGGAUGACUGGGUCAGAAGCAGAUGACCCUCCUUCUGACCUAUCAUCAGAAAGUCAGGGGGUGCCUGGCUGGCUCAGUCCAUGGAGCAUGCAACUCUGGAUCUCGGGGUUAUGAGGUCGAGCACCACAUCAGAGAUGACCUCUGUCUCCAGCUCCACAAGCCCUUUGAAGCAAAUGAUAAUACACCACUUUCCUUUGCAUGCUUGACUGCUCUCUCUAAAAGUGGGAAAAGUAGCAACUUCAGCUAGAAGGUAUGUGAGUAUAUAUGCAUGCGUUUGUAACUUUUAAGCUGGAAAGGCUGAAGAUUUCAAGCAAAAAAAUACAGCAUUUCAUUUGCAUUAUAUGGAUUAAAGUUUUCUGUUAUUUAUAAUACUGGAAAUGUCUAAUAAUUAUCAUCUUGGUUGCC